rnacentral:rRNA from 1 species
AACGAACGCUGGCGGCAUGCCUAACACAUGCAAGUCGAACGAGACCUUCGGGUCUAGUGGCGCACGGGUGCGUAACGCGUGGGAACCUGCCCUUAGGUUCGGAAUAACUCCCCGAAAGGGGUGCUAAUACCGGAUAAUGUCUUCGGACCAAAGAUUUAUCGCCUUUGGAUGGGCCCGCGUUGGAUUAGCUAGUUGGUAGGGUAAAAGCCUACCAAGGCGACGAUCCAUAGCUGGUCUGAGAGGAUGAUCAGCCACACUGGGACUGAGACACGGCCCAGACUCCUACGGGAGGCAGCAGUGGGGAAUAUUGGACAAUGGGCGAAAGACUGAUCCAGCAAUGCCGCGUGAGUGAUGAAGGCCUUAGGGUUGUAAAGCUCUUUUACCCGGGAUGAUAAUGACAGUACCGGGAUAAUAAGCUCCGGCUAACUCCGUG